rnacentral:rRNA from 1 species
GACAGAGGUGCCAAGCGUUAGGCGGAAUCACUGGGCUUAAAGCGUGUGUAGGUGGAAGCGUAAGUACCUUGUGAAAUCCAACGGCUCACCCGUGGAACGGCUGGGUAUACUGGGUGUCUUGAGCCACUUAGGGGCUGCCGGAACAAAUGGUGGAGCGGUGAAAUGCGUAGAUAUCAUUUGGAACGCCAAUGGUGAAAACAGGCAGCUGGGAGUGUGCUGACGCUGAGACACGAAAGCCAGGGGAGCGAACGGG